UGGGGAAUAUUGCACAAUGGGCGAAAGCCUGAUGCAGCAACGCCGCGUGAGUGAUGAAGGCCUUCGGGUUGUAAAGCUCUGUCUUCUGGGACGAUAAUGACGGUACCGGAGGAGGAAGCCACGGCUAACUACGUGCCAGCAGCCGCGGUAAUACGUAGGUGGCAAGCGUUGUCCGGAUUUACUGGGCGUAAAGGAUGCGUAGGCGGAUACUUAAGUCAGAUGUGAAAAUCCCGGGCUUAACUUGGGAACUGCAUUUGAAACUGGGUAUCUAGAGUGCGGGAGAGGAAAGUGGAAUUCCUAGUGUAGCGGUGAAAUGCGUAGAGAUUAGGAAGAACACCAGUGGCGAAGGCGACUUUCUGGACCGUAACUGACGCUGAGGCAUGAAAGCGUGGGAGCAAACA
rnacentral:rRNA from 1 species